AACGCACAUUGCGCCCCCUGGUAUUCCGGGGGGCAUGCCUGUCCGAGCGUCAUUGCUGCCCUCAAGCACGGCUUGUGUGUUGGGCCCUCGUCCCCCGGGACGGGCCCGAAAGGCAGCGGCGGCACCGCGUCCGGUCCUCGAGCGUAUGGGGCUUUGUCACCCGCUCUGUAGGUCUGGCCGGCGCCUGCCGACACCAAUCAAUCUUUUUUCCAGGUUGACCUCGGAUCAGGUAGGGAUACCCGCUGAACUUAA
rnacentral:misc_RNA from 1 species